AUUGAACGCUGGCGGCAUGCCUUACACAUGCAAGUCGAACGGCAGCGGGGGAGAAGCUUGCUUUUCCUGCCGGCGAGUGGCGAACGGGUGAGUAAUACAUCGGAACGUGCCCUGUAGUGGGGGAUAACUAGUCGAAAGAUUAGCUAAUACCGCAUACGACCUGAGGGUGAAAGUGGGGACCGCAAGGCCUCAUGCUAUAGGAGCGGCCGAUGUCUGAUUAGCUAGUUGGUGGGGUAAAGGCCUACCAAGGCGACGAUCAGUAGCUGGUCUGAGAGGACGAUCAGCCACACUGGGACUGAGACACGGCCCAGACUCCUACGGGAGGCAGCAGUGGGGAAUUUUGGACAAUGGGCGAAAGCCUGAUUCAGCAACGCCGCGUGUGUGAAGAAGGCCUUCGGGUUGUAAAGCACUUUUGUCCGGAAAGAAAUGGCUCUGGUUAAUACCUGGGGUCGAUGACGGUACCGGAAGAAUAAGGACCGGCUAACUACGUGCCAGCCGCCGCGGUAA
rnacentral:rRNA from 1 species